GAUAGGCAGCCAUGCGACUACGACCAGACGAAGUCGUGCCCUUCGUCCAUUGCGAGUGCUUUCUUCAGCACUGUGGCGUUCAUUCUGGGAGCACUGACAUCGACGCUGUCCGGGUACUUGGGGAUGAAGAUCGCGACGUACGCGAACGCUCGGACGACCCUGGAGGCCCGCAAGGGUGUGGGGAAGGCGUUCGCGAUCGCGUUCCGGUCGGGAGCCGUGAUGGGAUUCCUGCUGGCUGCGAACGGUCUGCUUGUGCUGUUUUUGACGAUUUUGGUGUUCAAGUUGUACUUCGGCGACGACUGGGUUGGUCUGUACGAGGCCAUCACCGGGUACGGUCUGGGAGGAUCUUCGGUGGCCCUGUUCGGGCGCGUGGGAGGAGGAAUCUACACGAAGGCGGCGGACGUGGGCGCGGACUUGGUGGGGAAGGUGGAGCAGAACAUCCCCGAGGACGACCCCAGGAACCCGGCGGUGAGUGGGCGGAAGUGCGUGGUGGUUUGGGAGGGGAGGGGAUGGUGGGGAGUGGGAGUUGUAUUGGGAGGAGCUGACAUGACAUGGGGGUGGUGAGGAUGGCAGGUGAUUGCGGACAACGUGGGAGACAAUGUGGGAGACAUCGCGGGAAUGGGCGCGGACCUGUUCGGGUCAUUCGCUGAGUCGACGUGCGCGGCGUUGGUGGUGUCAUCGAUCUCGUCGUUCGGGAACGACAAGAACUUCGUGGCGAUGUGCUUCCCUCUGCUGAUCAGCUCGGCGGGUAUUUUGGUGUGUUUGUUGACGACGUUGGUGGCGACGGACAUAAUGAGCGUGAAGGGAGUGAAGGAGAUCGAGCCGACGCUGAAGAGGCAGUUGGUGAUCUCGACGGUGCUGAUGACGGUGGCGAUAUUUUUGAUAUCGUGGUUCGGGCUGCCGGAGACGUUCACGAUCAACGUGGUGGGGCACGAGGCGAAGGUGGUGAAGAACUGGCACAUAUUUUUCUGCGUGGGAUCGGGUCUGUGGGCUGGGCUGAUCAUCGGGUUCGUGACGGAGUACUUCACCAGCAACGCGUACACGUAAGUGGCGGGGUGGUGGUGGUGGUGGUGGUAAUGGUGGUUAGAGGAGGAGGAUGGGGAGUGACAUGGUUGGAUGGGGAGGGGUGUGCAGGCCUGUGCAAGACGUGGCGGACUCGUGCAGGACGGGAGCGGCGACGAACAUCAUCUUCGGGCUGGCGCUGGGAUACAAGUCGGUGAUAGUGCCGGUGUUUGCGAUCGCGGUGGCGAUCUAUUUGAGUUUCAGUUUGGCGGCGAUGUACGGGAUCGCGGUGGCUGCGUUGGGAAUGCUGAGCACACUGGCGACGGGUCUGGCGAUCGACGCGUACGGUCCGAUCAGUGACAAUGCGGGAGGUAUCGCGGAGAUGGCGGGAAUGAGCCACGAGGUUCGGGAGAGGACGGACGCUCUGACGGCGGCCGGGACACGACGGCAGCGAUCGGGAAGGUGAGCGGAGGGGGUCGCGUGGAGGUGUAGAAUGUGUGUGUUUGAAGUUGGGAUGAGUUGGAGAAUGAGGAGGUGGUGGUGACACGAUGACAUGAGAUGGUUUAUGGUGCAGGGAUUCGCGAUCGGGUCGGCAGCGCUGGUGUCGUUGGCGCUGUUCGGGGCGUACGUGAGCAGGGCGGGAAUCGCGAGCGUGGACGUGAUCCAGCCGAAGGAGUUCGUGGGGCUGAUCGUGGGAGCAAUGCUGCCGUACUGGUUUUCGGCGAUGACGAUGAAGAGCGUGGGGAAGGCGGCGCUGGCGAUGGUGGAGGAGGUGCGGAGGCAGUUCAGGACGAUCCCGGGGCUGAUGGAAGGGACGACGAAGCCGGACUACAAGAGGUGCGUGAAGAUAUCGACGGACGCGUCGCUGAAGGAGAUGAUUCCGCCGGGCGCGCUGGUGAUGCUGACGCCGCUGAUCGUGGGGACGCUGUUCGGCGUGGAGACGCUGGCGGGGCUUUUGGCGGGUGCAUUGGUGUCGGGAGUGCAGGUGAGAGGGGUGUGGGAUGUGGUUUGGUGAGUGGGGUGACGGAGGUGGGAAAAGCGAAGGGGAGUUGACGGGAGGGGGAUGUGUGUGGGGAUGUGGCAGAUCGCGAUAUCGGCAUCGAACACGGGAGGAGCGUGGGACAACGCGAAGAAGUACAUCGAGGCGGGGGCUUCGGAGCACGCGAAGAGUCUGGGGCCGAAGGGGUCAGACGCCCACAAGGCAGCAGUGAUCGGGGACACGGUGGGAGACCCGCUGAAGGACACAUCGGGACCGUCGUUGAACAUAUUGAUCAAGCUGAUGGCUGUGGAGUCGCUGGUGUUCGCACCAUUUUUCGCUGCGAACGGUGGAUGGCUGUUCCGAGGUUGAGCAUUGGUGCUGUUGCGUGUUUUCACUUGCACAUAGGCGUACAAUGUUCAGGAGUUAAGAUUUUGUAGCCUUCUUUCAGGGACUCCUGUGUAAUACAUUAUAUUCUCAUACCAGUAUAAGCUUUUCAGUAUUGUAAAGAUCAGAUGAUUUGUUUGGUCAGCACGUGGUGGAGUACAAUGGCUAUAUUCUGUUUGCAGGGCAUCUGCUCUCCAUUUCUCUGUUUGUGCCGGGAUAUUUGUAAUUUGAUCCAUUGCCUGAGCGGCGUUCUUUAUUUCGUAUUUUAUAUGCUCAAUUUAUGACAGCUUUUUUUUGAAUGGUUGCCGUCGUUGCGAAUUUCGUUUCUACCAAUCCGAGUUAUUCCAUUUUGUUUAAUGCAUUGGGUUUUUUCUGCACUUCCUUUCAGUUCUUAGUUUGAUUUCUGUCUGGUACUUGUUUUUGCGAAGUAUAUUGGAAGUAAUUUGUAGUUAGACCUGGUAACCCGUUUAGGUUCAGCAUGUUUUUUAUGUUUCUUCUGUUGCCAUCUCUGAAGUCACCAGCCCCAGCACACAAUUUCCAUAACAUACUUUAAGACGAGUUGUGACCCCUGAAGAGCGCGCCUGGUAUUAUCUCAAAUUGGAUCCCACUUGGAUUUUUACGUGGGUGAAUAAUGAAUACUUUCAGGUAAAGGUACUGAAUAAUAACAUAAUUUUACAUGGUGCUCUGUCAGAAGACAAUUAGUUUGUUUUAACGGGGCCCCUUCCACAAUACUGACGACCUUUACUGUUGCUCUGCCACCUUCAGCAGGCCAAUGUCCCUCCAUUGCACAGCAUUGGAGUCUUGUAGGCGAGUUCUCAAUUAACUUGAGUGCAUGUUUAUCAUACCUGUAAGGAUGACGGCUGGCUAUCACUGUAGGCUCUGCCAUGUAUUGUAGUCGGACAACCAAAAGAGUACAUCUCUUUAUCAUCCUACUACAUGGUGUAGGGCCUCUGCUCCCUUGCCUCUUUAUCAUUGACCUUGCCUGACUCGAUGAUCUGUCCUGUGUGUUGCCGAGUUGGCCUGUCAUUACAUAUCCAACCCGCAUAACCCAUAUGGCCAGCUGGCAAUCCUCCCCACCCCCCUGGAAAGUCCCGCAAGAAUGAAGGCGUCGCCAAUUAAACGACAAAUUCAUGACACUUUUGCAACGGGAAGGAGUGAGGCAUGUGACACGCUGUCCUCAGUUUCCCAGACUUUCACGACGCCGAGGAAUUGAACAAAUUAGUUAUGCUGACGUGGAACGAAUAUGGUCUGAUCUGGACGACAGUGAGCUUCCAAUGAGAGGGUAGCCACAGCAUUUCCAAUGAUGGGGAGAUUUGGCAGCUUGUUUGGCAUGUGAGAUAUUUGUAUGCUUUUUGAAGAUUGCAUAAUUUAUUUAUAUCUUCCCACUAAAGGAAUUUUGUGUGUGGAUUCGCAGUUGUGAUAAAAUGAUUUGGCUUUACCUAUUACUAAGGGACCACAUGUGACAUAUAAUGUUGAUUAGUUUAUCAUCCAAUAAAGAGAAUCUUGCCAAAGUAAUAAAUUAGUGUUUUUUUUGCAACACAAAGACACGUUUUUCAUACACAAAGACAGUUGGAAACAAAUUUGUUUUAUGUUAAAUACGUGGUUAGAGAGGAAGGUUUAUUUACACAUUACAUUUUUCUACAGCCCAGACCUCAAAUUCCUCAUAAGUCUCAACAACAUUUGCAACUUCGAAAAAAAUAUCUAGGACAUAUGUAUUUCCUUCCCAGUAAACAUGAAGAUGUGUAACACAAGAAUUUGGGUCUUUGAAAUGUCAGAUACACAUGAGAUGACAAGGCCAGAUAAGGACAGAAAAAGAAUGAGGGGGGAGGGCUCUGCCGUUCUGGCAGAAAUGUUGGGGGAGUUGUUAGUCUGGUCCACCCGAUUGCUCUGCCACGUCAGUCCAUCGACCUAGCUCUCAUUACGACCCUCCGAUGGAGGAUCUUAUGGGUUUUGGGUCCCCCAUUCACACACGUUGCUUGUGGUGAGUGGGUGAUACUGUGAAACCCUAAUCCCUGUUCCCAGAAAUGGACCUCUCUUUGUUGGUUAUAAAAUGCAUUAAAAGAACCAAUUAUGGGCAUAAUUUUUCGCAUAUAUAUAUAUAUAUAUAUUAUUUCACAAUAUUUUUUUAUCCUUAAUUUUAUAAAAUUUAUAUUAUAAAGAUAAAUUUCACUGAUAUAGAGAACCCUAUUUGUGUUGCAAGAACCUCCAAAACCUGUCUCCAAAACCUCUACUUUCUAACAAAAUAUCUCAAAGUCAUUUACUUCUUGAACUUACAUUCAAUAUGUUUGUUAGUAGUAUUGUUAGUUGUCAUUGUUAUGUUAUCACUUGAUAUACAUGUGACUAAAAGUUUGAUUCUACAAAAGUAAAUAUGCAAAUAUGUAAACAGAACCCAAUAUGUUAACAUUUUGGAGCUUUGGUUGUAAUAGAAAGGUACCUACCUAGUAUAUAUUAUAGUAUGAAUAAAAAUUGUAUAAUCGUAUUUUAGUAAAUCCUUAACCUUGUCUAAUUAUUUAGAAACAUUUUUGGUAUUAAAGCACAUAUACAUUUAAAUAUGAAUUAGAUAUUAUAUUCAAAUUUUAGAAUUGGAAGUAUAUCUCUAUUUUAAUGAAAAAAAAAUUAUAAUAUAGAAAUAAAGUCGAUUAUAAUUUUAAAUAUUCUUAAGAAAAUUAUUAUUAAAAAUUUAUGAUUUAUGAUUAAAAAAUAUAAUUUUUUUAAAAAAUAGUUAUAAUAAAAAUCCUUAUAUAUAUAUAUAUAUAUAUAUAUAUAUAUAUAUCAAGGACAAAAACUUAAAGAAUGUAAAAAAAAAACAAGUGAGAUAUUUCUCAAAGAAUGAUAAAAUAAAUAAACAAAUAAAUUCAUAAAUUCAAGAAGAAAUUAAAAUAACUAUUGCCAAAGAUUAAGAAACUAAAAACUCUUAAAACUAGAUUAGAAGCAAGAAUAGAGUUGACAAGAGUGAUGAAGAAUUUCUAAUAAUAUUACCAAACAUCAAAAAUUUCUUCGAAGGUCAUAAUACCAAACACACAAUGUUUUAUUCCAUAAUUCAAUAAAUAAUAUUUUUUGAAUUGAAUCUAUUAAUUGUUGAUUCUUUAUUUCUUUAAUACCACAAAUAUAAAGAAAUUACAAUCAAUAGUAGAUGUUAAAAUAUAAUUUUUAUUAAACCUCAUUUCUUUUAUAUUAAGAAAUUGCUUGAAUCUUCAUCUUGAUUUUGAUGGUUGUUGUCAAUAUAAAAUUUUGACCUUCUCUAUUGAAUUUAUAAGAUUUUUUGAUGACUUCUAUGUGUAUUCAUUAAUAUCAUAUCCAUGCUAAUGUACACGAUAUUUCAAUCUAUUUUGAGGAUGCCUUAAGUCUAAGACUUCUUUAACUUCAAAUUAUUGAUUGUUUUUUGCUUUUAUGAAAAAAUGUAGCAUUUGUCUUUUUUUUGAAAUAUUCAUUGUCUUGUAAGGCUUAAGAAGAGAUACAUGGAACAUAAGAUGUAGCUUCAAACUUUGAUAGGUAUUAUUAAUAAGCAAGUAAAUUGAUUUUUUCAUAAAUAAAAAAUUAUCAUAGUAUAUAUUCUCAUAUUAUAAGAAAACUUUGCAAAUUGACAAAGAAUUGUCAAACUAUCUUGAUAGUGGUUAAUAAUACAUUUCAAAUACUAUUCCAAUACUUGAUUCACUUGUUCUAUAUAUACAUCAAUUUGAAGAUGAAAAGCCAAAGAUAAUUUUAUAUCCAUCUUCAAUAUUUUUAAAAAUAUUUUCUAAAAUUUUAAUAUAAAUUGGAUCUUUUAUAAUAUUUAAUAUCCUUUGGCAAUGUAUAAUGAUAAUAAAUAUUUUCAAAUAAAAUUUUAGUUAUUUUUUCUCUUAUAAUAGAUUUUUUACAUAGUAUAAAAUGUACCAUCUUAAUAAAACAAUCUACUAUCAUGAAUGUAAAGUGAAAAAAGUUUGAUAUUAUAAGAUCUUUAAUAAAAUCCAUAGAUACAAAAGAACAUGGUUGUUUUGAUAUAGUUAAUAGUUAAAAAAAAUUUUGCAAGAUCAAUAUCACUGAUUUUUAGAUUUUGAACAAGUAUCACAUGAUCGUACAAAAUGUUCAAUUGCCUUUGACAUUUGAAGCCACCAAAAAACUUUUUGAAAUUAAUUUUAAGGUCUUGAUGUAUUGACAAUGUUUUGUAGUUGGAAAGUUAUGUAGAGCUUAAAAAAAUCUAUAAUUAUGCUUCAACUUUUGAAACAUAUAAACGUCUUUCAAAAUAAAGUAGAGUGUUCUUGAACUCAAACUAAGAAGUAUCAUGAGAUUAAAAAAAAAUUACUUAAUAUAAAAAAUAAAAAGAUAUGAGAAAUAUUUAAUUAGACUUAAUUAAAAAAUAUUAAAUUAACAAUCAAUGUUAUUUUUCUUGUUUCAAGAAGAAAUUUCUUUUGCUUCAUUAAAAUUAUUUAUUGUUGAUCCAAAAGUUGCAUUUCUUUCUUUAAUCAUAAUAAAAGAAUGUCUAAAAAUGAUAUUUUACAAACCUUAUUAUAUGUUUAGUCAAUAAUUUAUAUUGAAUUUACAUCUUGACAAAAACAAGCUCCAACAAGCUUGGCAAUGAUUUAAAAAAAGUGUUGACAUUAAAUACUUGAGGUUCUUGUAAAUUGUAUGAAUAGCCGCUAAACUUGAAGCAACUUUUAAAUAAUAGUGUCAUUCUUAAAAUCAAUCCGUGAUUGUAAAAAUUUCUUUGUGGUAGAUCUUGUAGCUAAUCUCUUUUGCUGAAAUUUUUCUUAAAAUAAAAGCUAUUUGAUGAAGUUAAUUAUUUAUUCCAAUUUAUGAGAAUAUUACACCUAAGACCAAGCUUGACGUAUCUAUCUCCAUAAAAACAAUUCUUAGAAAAACCAACACAAUAUAAGAUUGGUGCAAAAAUGAAAGUUGUCUUUAUAGCUUUAAAUAUUCUUUUAGCUUUGUUAUUCCACUCAUUUUUUAAAAAAAAUUCAAAUGUCUAAGUUGAGGUACAAAUUGAAAAAAAAAUCUUAAUAAAAAUCCAAAAGUGAUUAAAAAAUUCCAAAAAAUAAUAAACAUGCCUUCUUAUUCUUCAAAUCUUUUAAUCUAUGAUAGUUUAAACUUUCUUAGAACUCAUCAUAUAACUAUCAUUUGAAAUGAUGUAUCUUAAAAAUUCAACUUAAAUAAUAUAAAAUACACACUUCUUCAUCUUGGAAUAUAAUCUUACAUCUAAAAGUUUUUGUAACAUAUAAAAAACAUGAAGUUUAUAUUAUUUUAUGUUUUUAGAGUAGAUUAUAUUGUUAUUUAGAUAACACAUGAUAAAAUCAUUUGAAAACUCUUAAAUAAAAUCAUUCAUUAAAUGUUAAAAAAAUAGCUAGUACAUUUUAGAGUCCAAAAGGCAUGACAUUAUAUUCAAAAUGCUCAUACUUGGUUUGAAAUUUUGUCUUCUAUUUAUCUCUUUCUUGAGUAUAUAUUAGAUUACAUUCUCUUUAUAAAAAAAAUUUAUAUAGAUCUUUAUUUGAUUCAAUUGAUUAUGAAGUCUAGACAUCAAAGAUAGAGUAUAUCAAUUUUUGAUGGUAAUUUUCUUUAGCCUUCAAUAAUCUACAUAUAUUCAUAGUAAUCUUUUUUUUUUUUUUUUCAAAAAUAAAAUAAGAGCUUGUAAAGAUUUUGAAUGGUAUAUGAAGUUCUUAGUGAGGUACUUAUCAAUAUAUCCUCUAAAUGCAACCAACUUGAUUUAUAAUAAGCUAUAGAUUAAUUGAAAUAAAAAUUGAGGUCCUUCAUAAAGAUCAAUUGUGUAAUUAUUAAAGUGAUGCUUUGAAAGAUUAUUUGCAUUUUUUCUCUUAAAAACGUCUCAAUAAGCUUGGUACUAAAUUAGAAUGUUACUUAAAGUCUUUCUACUAACAAAAAUUAGUGUAGCAUAAAUAAUAAUAAUAAAAAAAAACCCUUUAUUUUGAAGCCUAAAUAAAAGUUCUUAUACCUAUUAAUAAGCAUUUGGUUGUACUAAACUUAUAACUUUUUUCUACAAUAAGAAGAAUCAAGGUUAUGGUAUGAAAAAAUCAAAUACUACAAGAAAUAUAAUCUAUUUGAAUAUUUUAAUUUUUAAGCUAUAAUAAACCUAACAUGAUUAGAUUAAAAAAAAUCUAAUUAUUUUGAAUAUUUUGAAGGUAUUAUAACUAUUAGUUGCUACAUCUAAAAGAAAAAUUUUAUGAAUAAUAUUUUUAGAUAAAAAUAGUUGACCAUCUAUUAUAUGACUCUCAAAUAUUAAGUCAAUCAAUUAGCUUUGUUAUCACAUGAGAGAAUUAGCUCUUUGCAUUUCAAUUUGAAAGUUGUAAAAGUAGACUUCAUUAUUUUUAUAAUUUAAUUACAACAACUAUACCUUAUCAACAUAUACAUUUGGAAGUAGAUGACAUGCAAAUUGAUAUAGUAAGUUUUAAACCACUCAAUGAGCAAAAAAAGUUUAAUUAUUGUCAAGAAGGAUUGUACUUGUAAUAUAAAAAAUCUUAGCACAAUAUUCAACAUUGUCCAAAAAAGUGACAUAACCACAAAAUAAGAUAGACAUACAAUAUUGUACCUUAUAUUAUAAUUUGUAAAAAAAAUGGCUAAUGAAUGCAACAUCAUUCCUCUUAAUAUGAAUUGCAAGUUGUUAAAAUUAUAAAGCAUAUAAGAUUAUUGAUUAAUUUUUUAUUACAAAAUAUAAAUUUUAUUAGUUUUAAUAUAAAUUACAUCAUAUUUUCUAUAUAUAGAUCAAAAAUUUUCUAAAAAAAGCCUCUAAAUUUUUUAAUAUGAGAUCAUAUUAUUCAAAAAAAAAAAUUAUUAUAAAUUAGAACUUGUAAAUAAUUUUUUAAUAAAUGUGAUUUAUAAUCUUAGAAUUGGAUAGCUUUGAGGUUGAAGUUCAAUUACUAGUUGUAUUUGAUUGAUAAAUCCUUGAAACUUUCAUUUUAUAUCAUCAAACUUCCUAUGCAAGGCAACUCUUAGUUUUCAAAUGCUUAAACAAUGUUCUACUAUAUACAAAGUAAUGUGAUUUGGUGUAGAUGUCAAAGGAGUUUUAUUCAACAUAUAUCUUCACAUCUUCUCAAUCAUGUUGCUCUUUGUUGUUAUAAAUUAAGUUAACGCAUUGCAAGUAUAAACUCUUUCAUUUAUUCUUAUAUUAUUGUUAUUUUAUUUUUUUAUUUCAACAAGUAUUGUCAUAAUAAGUCAAUAAAAAAGAACAUGUCUAAUGUCACUUGAGAUGAAUAGAAAAGAAGAAUAAAAAAAUAAAAUAAAAAAUAAUAUUAAUUUAAAAAUAGGUCAAUAAAAAUAAUAAAAAUAAAAUAAAAAUAUAUAUUCAAGAUAAAAUUAGAAUGGAUAUUAUUAAAAGAUAAAAAAACUAUAGACUCUUGAAAUUAAACUAGAAGCAAAAAAAGAGUGGACACGAGUGAGGAAGACUUCAUUCUUCACUCUAUAUGUAUUAUUUAACUAUGAGCUACAUAGCAAUGUUCUACAUGAUCUCAAACAUAUGCCUAAUUUAAUACACAUAUGUCUAAUUUGCAAGACAAGCUUCGUAUAUGUGUGCCAAAUGUACAAGUAGCUAACAUAUGCAAUACAUGGUUAUAAUCAUAUAUAUAUAUAUAUAUAUAUAUAUAUAAUCUAAAUAUGAAAUAUUGGAUAGAAAGUAAUUUUAGAUAUAUUUGAUAAUAUUACGUGGAAUAAUUUUUUAGAAGUUUUAUAAACGUGAAUUUGAUCUUAUAUGAGUUUAUAGUCAAUUGAUAGAUUAAAAACUUAUCCAACAUGUUGACCACAUAUUACAUAUAUUAGCAACUUGUAAUAUAAGUUAGCCAUAUGGCACACAUAUAAGAAACUUGUCUUAUAAGUUAAACAUGUGUUUUAUAAUUUGGACAUGUAUUGGAGGUCCAAUAGAAAGUUAUCACAUAGCUUCUAGUUAGAUAGUAUAUAUGGAGGUAAGAUUAAAGUUUUCUUCAUUCUUGUCAAUGUCUUUCUUGUUUUUACUUUUGAUACAAGAGUUUCUAGUCUUUUUAACUUUAGCAAUAGCCAUUCUAAUUUUAAUAUUAUAUUAUUUUUGAAUAAAUAUCUACUCUUUUGAAUGACAUAAGAGUGUAUUAAGGUUUUUAUUUUUUGUGGUUGUCAAAGAUAUAAAUAAAUAUUUAUAUGAUUUAUAUGCUUGACAACUACCUUGUUAGGAAAGUUUUCAACCUAUUAAUCACAUGUAGACACAUAUAAAUGCAAAGUCACUUCUAUGAAGCUUCUAAAAAGCUGAUUCACAAAAUACUAUGAAAUUUAUUUAUUUUUAUCUACUUCUACAUAUUUAUUUUAUAUAGAUUAUUUUUAAAAUAAAUAUGUAUAUUAAUGAUAAUACAUACAUACAUACAUAUACAUAAAAAUAUAAAAAAAUAUAAAAAAAUUGAAUGCUAUAUAAUUUUGAUAAAUACACAAUUUAGAUUUUUUUUAAAAAAAACAUUAUAAUAAGUAUAAAUCUUUCAUAAUUCCAUGAAUUUUAUGUCUUAUUAAAUCAUAACAAAAGAUGUCAAAUACAUAUAUAUAUAUAUAUAUAUAUAUAUGAAGUCAAUUUAAAAUUAUAUUAUUUUUAAAAUAAUGAUAUAUCAAUAUAUUCAAUUUAUAUUUAUUAAAGUCAAAAAAAUAAUUCAAAUCUCUACAAUGUAAUGGUACUUAAUAAAACCUUAAAUAUUUCCAUUUUGUAUUCAUUGGUGUAUAUAAAUUAGUUUUAAAAUUUAAAAUUAAAUACACGAAUAUAAAUUUAGAUUUUUUUAUUUUUAUAUUUUUUUUAUUUUACAUGUAAAGUUAUAAAUUGAUAAAUAAGAAAUAAUUUAUAUAUAAAACUUUUGAAUACUUUACUUAGCUAUAAUUUUUCUUUUAAGUAGGUAUGUUAUAAAGAAAAUAUAAAAGAGGAUGAUUUCUAUGUAUAAUUUUUAAAGUUUUGUGGAUUUUAAAAAUUACUAAAAUUUAAGCUUGUGGUUUAUUCGUCGUUUAAGCUUUCGUCAAUAUGUUCUCAACUUUCUUUGUUGCAACCUCAACCAUAUUGCUUUGAUUUCAAGAAUUUUGUAAUUCCUUGUUUUAUUUAUUUUAUUAUAUAUUAAAAAUAUAAAAAAAAAUAAAAAUUCCUCCAAAUAAUAUAUAUAUAUAUAUAUAUAUGUAAUUAUUUUGAUUCUACUUGAAAAUAUCUAAAUAUAUAUCAUAUGAAUUGUUGGGAUUACAUAAAAAUAAACAUGUUAUAUUUUCAACAUAUGUUUACAUAGUCAUUUAAAGUAUAUUGAAAAUUAAAAAAAUAAAAACAUGUUAUUGUUAUAAGUACAAGUUUCUAUCAAUAAUAUCAAUCAAAUAAAACAUAAUAAAAGCCAAAAAAUGAUUGGUGGAAAAAAGAUACUUAUAACUUUUUAGAUUGAUACAAAGAAAGGGUUUUUUAUGCCCAAAUUGUAAUGGCUGAAUAAAACUACAUCCUUCAUGAAAUGUAAGAAGACAUAAAAUUUAGUAAAUAACUUUACAAUACUUUGAUAAUCUAUUUAUUUAUGAUUUCACCAAUAAAAUUAAAAUAAUUCAUUGUAAUAUAUAUAUUUUUUAUUAUAUAAAUACACCACAAAAAUGAAAUAAUAAUAAAUUGAAUUAGUUUGUAGUGGCUAUACUAUACAUGUAAAUUCUAUUUAAAAUCUAUUAAUAAAAAUAACAAUCCCACAAGGAUUAGACCUCAUUGGCCACCAUGCACUUACCACCACAUGCACCACAAGCUGUAGUUCAUGUACUCAUUUAAAACUCGAGCUACACAUACAACAAGAAAGAAUUUCACGUCACCUAAAUGUCACUUCAAGUAUAACAUUCACAAUUACAAAGUUUGGCUAUUGCUAAAGCGUCCAAAUUAGUACCACAUUAGUAACUUGCACUCUGAUGCUUCUGGCUCUUGGAUUUCGCUGCAGAGUGUGAUUUUUUUAGUGGCAAGUCCACUCAUCCAUACAAAAUUGCAUGCAGAGCCUCGACGGGCAUCGUUUUAGUGACACUCCACUUCCAUGUCCCCGUCAGUAUUCAAACGCUGCAAAAGUGCCUCCGUGUUGAAUCUCUAAGAAGAAGAAAACUAUGUGGCAGGCAACCCGGGAGUGUAGCUAUCCACGCCAAGUUUCGCGCUACGCUAAGCUCUCACGCUCGUCCAAUUUGCUCCCUUUCGGAACUUGCAGAUUCAUGCUCCAUAUCGCUGACUGAGCAUGAAUUUCAAGCUCUCCCUCCACGCUGUAGGUUGUGGGUACCAUCGCUGAUGCAGGAGCGCCGAGCUCAAGCAUCCCAGACACCACUAGUCCUUUCCUCUUGCCGUCAGCGACAUCUUGCAUUCUUUUUUUGGAUGUUAUCACUGUUGCAAGCGCAUCGCAUCGCAUCGCAUCGCAUCGCAUCAUCAAAACAUGUGCUUCAGAAGUGAUCUUCAUCGCAAGGCUGAGACCGCAGUCGCAAGUUCGCCAGGGAGGCAUAUUUGCAACCCCAAACUCUCCAUCUCGGAAUAUGUCGAUUCGGAGCAUACGAAGACUCCGCGAUUUUAAUGGGGGGACGUCGAGACGAGAUCCCGCCGCCGUCUCAUUCUUCUCCCUGCUUGUUUCUGAUUGAUUUUUAGAAAUGGAAAGUCGGUUUCAGAGUUUUAGUACCAAUCUGAGUGUGUGUGAUGAUGGGUUGAAAUUUCAAUGACCAAAAAAAUCCAAAUGAUUUAUGAAGUGCAGUGUACGAGUUCAAGGAUUUGUCUACAUGUUUACAUCUUAUAAACCAAGGUUUGUCAAGCGACAAUUUUCACAAUGUGCUAGUCCGUUUAAAAUAUAGAAAUGAUUAAAUUUUUUGAUAAAAUAAAUCUUUGGUUAAUACACACAAAAGAAAUAAAUAUUAAUAAUCUCGGGACACAUAGUGUUUUGAUUGUAUUUUGAGAAGGAAUUAAUUGUACAUCAUUACUUGGUGGAUAAAAUGUGAAUGAAGUAAAAUCCUAUCAAAGCUUUUUGUUGCUUCGUCAAGUAACACAAGGAUGAUUGAUUCACUGCAAUAAUAUAAAUGACACAUCAUUAACGAAUGUUAUCAAAUUGAGAGUGUGUGUUUCGUCUCUUCUAUUUUUGUGUUAAUUCUUCCAGAUUCUUUUAACAAAAACCUUGGAAACCCAAAAGCUUGUAAACAAUUAGCUCUCUUGUGAGGGCCAACUGGUGGGGGUCACGUGGAGGACAAUAAUUCAAGCCAACUAUGUGUUACCACACUAUUAUACAUAUAUAUGUAUAUAUACAUUAUAUAUAUAAUAUGGAGUGGGCUUCAGGGGGGCAUGAGCAUUCUGACAUCGAAGGCCACACAAGACUAUCAUGCAGAGCCUUGUAAGUGUUAGAAGAGAAAGAGGGAGACGAGAAAGAUGGCUCCAUUAUUGGAGGAGAAGGAGCUCUCCUCCCUGCAGGGUUGGUGGCAGGCUUCUAUUGCCAGCCAGGAUGGCACGAUCUCUUACCCACGGGUUUGGGGUCGAUACCCCCCAUUACCACCUCCCCUCACAUCAAGUGAUCAAAACCUAGGUGGGUUCCAAAUUUGGAAGGACCGCAGCAUUUAGUCUAACAUGACCGUUCCAUUCUCUGGGUGAAUGUGUUACCGUAUGUAGGUAUAUAUAUAUAUAUAUAUAUAUAUGUAUAUAUCGAAGCAAGCAAACAAAGAAACAAUGAAGUCUUGAUUGCAGGAUUGUGAGGGUGACCUCGGUGGGAUCAGCUUAACGGUUAUGUUUAUUUGUUUGAAUGAUUUUGUAAAAAAAACGUUAGUUAGCAACCGAAUUGGAAAAUUACAUACCAAUGAAAGAGGGAACUGAGCUGCACGACUGAGUGUCUCACGCCUAUUAUAUAAAUCAAUCACGAACCGUGUGGAAUUAGUACACCGCUACUUCUAAUGAAUUAAUGUCUGUGGUCGACGUUUAUCAGAGUCAAUAUUCGACAGGGUUGAAUACAUCAACAUCUUGGUGAGUCCAUAGAAAAAAAAAUUCCAUUAGAAAUCAUACACGUUGUUGCAUAUCAACUGUUUAUUGAAUUUAUUUUUCUCGACAGAACCGCUACAUUGCUGAAUAAUACAUUGGUCGAGAAGGUUGACGAGAGUAAGCAAACUUAUCCCCGGUGCCGAGUCAUCCCCUGCACCAUUAGGCUCGGGCCGCGGCUGCAACCGAACCAGAACAAUACAAUUCAUCCAUCCCGCACGCAGUGAUAGUGGCUAAUUCCGGACCUACCUCUGAGUCUCCUACCAUACCUAUCCUAGUACAGGUACGACUCUGAAAAGGGGAGGGUAGGAGCCGAAGCUGGCAACAGAACUUGAGGUGGGAGACUAAGAGGGGGUGGGCUUCUGGUGUCUGCUGUGUAACAAUUCGCGUCCGCCAUAGCCAUCGUCUCACUGAGAAGCAGUGAAUCGCUGAACGCACGUCGCCAUGGUACUUGGAACGACGUUCGUGCUGGCCUUCGUGCCAGCAUCUGCCGUCGUCGGCAUUUUGUUUGCCCUCUCACAGUGGUACAUUGUUUCCAAGAUCUCUGUUGGCCGGAAACCCGUCUCCAACAAUGGCUACAUGCACGUGGACGAAGAUGGCAUCGAUAACUCCAGCGUAGAUGAGAAGGUCGCUGAGAUUCAGUCCGCCAUAUCUGAGGGUAAGUUUUAGAUCUAUCAGCUCUCUGUGGUAGUGGCGACGCCUUGAGGUUCUUGCCGUAUUGCGAAGGAGUCUAUCUCAGUUUUAGAUCAUAGCUCUUAUUGUUGUGCUUCGUGUUAAGGGUAUGUCGAGUGCGUUCAAAUACUGCAUUCAUUGCAGUUACACUCUACGAAAUGGCUCGAACAGCUAAUGCCAGGCUUGGAUUUAUUUUUUGCUGUCGAUUGUCGUUUACGCCUUGCUAAGAAUUGAUUUCUCGAAUAUUUUAGCAGAACCAAGGAUGUGAGAAAUUCUUAAACGGUAAUUUUAUGAUAGAGACUUAUUCGUCAUUUUCGCCUUUGGAGGAUACAGCAGAAGGUGAAAAUCUUCAAUAUGGAUUGAGGAACUGAACUACGGUCAGAUUUACAAAUGUUUACGCUUCUUCACUUAUACAGUCAUCGUCGUACGUUGCAUUCUGAAUGUCCGUGGCACGGUACAUUUCAUAAUGCAAGCUACGGAAACGGCCAGUAUUAGGUUAUAUUUCGUACCGCUUUCGCCAUCCCCUGAAUAGCCGGGACCGAACAAACACACUUAAAUCAGCUCGUGAAAUGUGUAGAUGCUUGUGAUGCGCAGGUUACACAUAGUCAAGGUAAUAAGUAAAGACACCUAUCCUUCCAAUACCAAGGCGUAAUGUUAACGCCCAAAAUUAGUAAAUAAGCAUUGCUUAGUAAUUUUCCCGAAUAUACAAUAUGUUUUCCUUCAGAAACUUGCAAUACCCACUCCGAAUCAGCAGUGGAUAUGUGUGAACGGUACUCUAGUGGUAGAAUGACUUCAACACUCUCAGUGACUAAAAGAGACAUUUGAAAUUUGUCCUCGCAGGUUCCGAGGCGUUCUUGACGACAAUGUACACGUACUUGGCAAUCUUCAUGGGGUUGUUCUCCGUGAUCAUCUUCGUGUUCCUUGCCUCCGUGGGCGGGUUCAGCUUCGAUAGGCAGCCAUGCGACUACGACCAGACGAAGUCGUGCCCUUCGUCCAUUGCGAGUGCUUUCUUCAGCACUGUGGC
rnacentral:lncRNA from 1 species